CUUAUAGUAUGACUAACAAAAUUUACACAAUUCUUCUGUCUGCACAGAGCAUUCUACCCAGGGUGGACUUAAUAUUAAGUCAAUAUUACUAUCCCCAUUUUUCAGAUUAGAAAACUGAGGUGUUGGAGGCGUGACUUCCUCGUGGUCACACAGAGUGCUGGAGCGACCAUCCGUCGUGAUUAUCUGUGCGUGCUCCACUGUCCUAGUUGGUGCCCUGUGCUCACGUCUGUCAACAUCAGGAGCUGUGGAAUCCGAGUGCGGCUGCCAAGAGGAAUCCAGAAAAGCCAAAGAGCCCAAGCAUGUCAGACCUUCCUGUAGCCACACACACACACCCCUCAAACCCCAAGGAAGUGAGUGAGAAUCACCGGCAGGGAGACAGCCAACCAGGUGAGCAACCACAUCAGUCUGAGGGCUAAAGCAACAGGAAAGGGUUUUUGGCAGUUC
rnacentral:lncRNA from 1 species